CUGAUACUUAAAGAAAAACAAUAAUUUGCUUUCUUUUUCCAUGACUAUUCAAUGGCCUCUUUUAGUAUUUUUUUAAACAUUAAAAUGGCUUCAAACAAUUUAACUAGACUUGAUUAUUGAAUGAAUACACAAAAUCUGCUGGUUAACUUUAAUUCUAAGGCAAGUCAGCUUCUAAGUCUUUUACUGUCCUACUUUUUUUCUUUCUUUUUUUUUUUGGAGACAGAGCCUUCUUGUUCUGUCGCCCAGGUUGGAGUGCAAUGGCCUGAUCUUGGCUCACUGCAACCUCACCUUCCCAGGUUCAAGUGAUUCUCCUGCCUCAGCCUCCUGAGUAGCUGGGAUUACAG
rnacentral:lncRNA from 10 species